GAUGAACGCUGGCGGCGUGCCUAAUACAUGCAAGUCGAGCGAACAGACGAGGAGCUUGCUCCUCUGACGUUAGCGGCGGACGGGUGAGUAACACGUGGAUAACCUACCUAUAAGACUGGGAUAACUUCGGGAAACCGGAGCUAACACCGGAUAAUAUAUUGAACCGCAUGGUUCAAUAGUGAAAGACGGUUUUGCUGUCACUUAUAGAUGGAUCCGCGCCGCAUUAGCUAGUUGGUAAGGUAACGGCUUACCAAGGCAACGAUGCGUAGCCGACCUGAGAGGAUGAUCCGCCACACUGGAACUGAGACACGGUCCAGACUCCUACGGGAGGCAGCAGUGGGGAAUCUUCCACAAUGGGCGAAAGCCUGACGCAGCCACGCCGCGUGUGUGAUGAUGGUCUUCGGAUCGUAAAGCUCUUUUAUUUGGGAAGAACGAAUGUGUGAGUAACUCUUCACGUCUUGACGUUACCUAAUCAGAAAGCCACGGCUAACUUCGUG
rnacentral:rRNA from 1 species